AGAGUUUGAUCCUGGCUCAGGAUGAACGCUAGCGGCAGGCUUAACACAUGCAAGUCGAGGGGCAUCGGGAGGAAAGCUUGCUUUCCUUGCCGGCGACCGGCGCACGGGUGAGUAACACGUAUGCAACCUGCCCUCUUCAGGGGGACAACCUUCCGAAAGGGAGGCUAAUCCCGCGUAUAUCGGUUUCGGGCAUCCGAGAUCGAGGAAAGAUUCAUCGGAAGAGGAUGGGCAUGCGGCGCAUUAGCUUGACGGCGGGGUAACGGCCCACCGUGGCGACGAUGCGUAGGGGUUCUGAGAGGAAGGUCCCCCACACUGGUACUGAGACACGGACCAGACUCCUACGGGAGGCAGCAGUGAGGAAUAUUGGUCAAUGGGAGAGAUCCUGAACCAGCCAAGCCGCGUGAGGGAGGACGGCCCUAUGGGUUGUAAACCUCUUUUGUCGGAGAACAAAACCCGGGACGUGUCCCGGACUGCGUGUAUCCGAAGAAAAAGCAUCGGCUAACUCCGUG
rnacentral:rRNA from 1 species